rnacentral:rRNA from 1 species
GGCUCAGGAUGAACGCUGGCGGUAUGCUUAACACAUGCAAGUCGAACGGUCACUUCGGUGAUAGUGGCGGACGGGUGAGUAACGCGUGAGAAUCUAGCUCUAGGUCGGGGACAACCACUGGAAACGGUGGCUAAUACCGGAUGAGCCGAAAGGUAAAAGAUUAAUUGCCUAGAGAUGAGCUCGCGUCUGAUUAGCUAGUAGGUGUGGUAAGGAGCGCACCCUAGGGCGACGAUCAGUAGCUGGUCUGAGAGGAUGAUCAGCCACACUGGGACUGAGACACGGCCCAGACUCCUACGGGAGGCAGCAGUGGGGAAUUUUCCGCAAUGGGCGAAAGCCUGACGGAGCAAUACCGCGUGAGGGAGGAAGGCUCUUGGGUUGUAAACCUCUUUUCUCAGGGAAUAAGAACUGAAGGUACCUGAGGAAUAAGCAUCGGCUAACUCCGUGCCAGCAGCCGCGGUAAUACGGAGGAUGCAAGCGUUAUCCGGAAUGAUUGGGCGUAAAGGGGUCCGCAGGUGGCCUUGUAAGUCUGCUGUUAAAGAGUGAGGCUUAACCUCAUAAAAGCAGUGGAAACUACAAAGCUAGAGUGCGUUCGGGGUAGCAGGAAUUCCUGGUGUAGCGGUGAAAUGCGUAGAGAUCAGGAAGAACACCGGUGGCGAAAGCGUGCUACUAGGCCGUAACUGACACUGAGGGACGAAAGCUAGGGGAGCGAAUGGGAUUAGAUACCCCAGUAGUCCUAGCCGUAAACGAUGGAUACUAGGCGUGGCUUGUAUCGACCCGAGCCGUGCCGGAGCUAACGCGUUAAGUAUCCCGCCUGGGGAGUACGCACGCAAGUGUGAAACUCAAAGGAAUUGACGGGGGCCCGCACAAGCGGUGGAGUAUGUGGUUUAAUUCGAUGCAACGCGAAGAACCUUACCAAGACUUGACAUGUCGCGAAUCCUCUUGAAAGGGAGGAGUGCCUUCGGGAGCGCGAACACAGGUGGUGCAUGGCUGUCGUCAGCUCGUGUCGUGAGAUGUUGGGUUAAGUCCCGCAACGAGCGCAACCCUCGUUUUUAGUUGCCAGCAUUAAGUUGGGCACUCUAGAGAGACUGCCGGUGACAAACCGGAGGAAGGUGGGGAUGACGUCAAGUCAGCAUGCCCCUUACGUCUUGGGCUACACACGUACUACAAUGCUACGGACAAAGGGCAGCUACACAGCGAUGUGAUGCAAAUCUCAGAAACCGUAGCUCAGUUCAGAUCGAAGCUUGCAACUCAGCUUCGUGAAGGAGGAAUCGCUAGUAAUUGCAGGUCAGCAUACUGCAGUGAAUUCGUUCCCGGGCCUUGUACACACCGCCCGUCACACCAUGGAAGCUGGUCACGCCCGAAGUCAUUACCUCAACCUUUCGGGGAGGGGGAUGCCUAAGUAGGACUGGUGACUGGGGUGAAGUCGUAACAAGGUAGCCGUACCGGAAGUGUGGCUGGAUCACCUCCUUUUAGGGAGACCUAAUCCACUCAGAUCUCGAAGCAAACAGCAAUAGAGAUGAGAGGUCUAGCUAGGUCGGUCGAGAUAGUGAAAGCUUCAAAGAAUACUUUCGUUGAUUACGAAAAACUGCAGUAGUAAGAGGACAGUCGCACUGAUGAGUCGAGAUAAAGUCCACGGCUGGUGUAUUCCGCAUACAUGAAACUGCAUAGAUCCGUAAGAAGCCGCGACCCAGUUUGAAUAUAGUAUGGUGCUGGUGGGAUCAUUGAUUGGGUCAGCUAUUAUGCUGAGGGGAACUAGCGCAGCCGACGAAGCCUUUAACGGAAUCCUAGGGUAGUUUAAAAAAUGGAAAACCGCGCUUAUAUAUUCGAGAAAAUUUAACCUCGG